UAUAUACUCCCUCCGUCCAACAAAGGAUGUCUCAAGUUUUUCAAAAUAUGAAUGUAUCUAGACAUGACUUAGUGUAUGGAUGCAUUCAAAUUUAGUGAAAAUUGAGACAUCCUUUGUUGGACGGAGGAAGUAAUAC
rfam:Brachypodium distachyon strain Bd21 chromosome 1, whole genome shotgun sequence.